ACGUCGUCUCUCUUAUCUCCAACACCUCCCUCUUCUCGCCCCAAACCCUAGAGGUAUGACGGGCACCGAUCUGGUGGCGCCACCACCGCGGAUGACCACGUGCCGGCAAGGCCCCCAUCUGUCCCUCGCUUGAUCCCCUCCGCCCGCUCCUAUGGUGUGUGCCACCGAAGCCUCCGGCGGCGCUUGCGUCCUGGGGUCCGCCCCCUAUCGCUCAGCCUCGUGUCUGCCGGCGCAGGCGCCGCCACCUAGUCAUGUGUGCCGUUCUGGGAGGCUUGACAAGCUGCUGAUUAGAGGACACCAACCUAGCCUCAGAGGAGGCCAUCCUCGCCAAGUUCGUGUAGGUGUUGGUCGCCUGCGUGCGCGGCCAUGCCGCCGCCGUCCCCUGCUACGAAUCUCGCUCACUGCAAGCUGCAGAGCCCGUGCCCAUCUCCCCUGAGGUAAGGCUGCACCAUCCUAAGUUUCUAUUUUCUAUCUGGGCUCCACGACCGGUAGUAGGAUGCUCAUUAGGCAACCCAAGGUGUGUACGCCCCUACUUCCCCAAGGUACUCAAGCCUCACGCCUAGGCUGACCACGAGAUGUGUGCUGCUGUGAGGCAUGUAGCACCACUUCUCCCGACUGCUAUCAUUAGUGAAAGAUCUCAUGUCACGGCGUCAUGGUCUCAUGGAAUGGACAUCACAUGGCUUAUUAGGAACUCUGAGUUCAGCGGGCACCAUGCCGAAUGUGUUAGAUCCACUAUUUUAGAGGGUAAAUAGGUCAACCUCUUCCAAUACACAAUUGCUGAGGUGUUCAAAAAUCUUAGUGAGAGAGGACAUUGACGGAGCGAGAAUGGAACACAACAAGUUUUGUGUGCGUGUGUGUGUGUGUGUGCAUUACCGAAAUGUCGCAAAACAUGU